AUUGAACGCUGGCGGCAUGCUUUACACAUGCAAGUCGAACGGCAGCGAGGAGAAGCUUGCUUCUCUGUCGGCGAGUGGCGAACGGGUGAGUAUAGCAUCGGAACGUGCCAAGUAGGUGGGGAUAACCAAACGAAAGUUUGGCUAAUACCGCGUAAGCUCCAAGGAGGAAAGUAGGGGACCUAAAUAAGGCCUUACGCUAUUUGAUCGGCCGAUGUCGGAUUAGCUAGUUGGUGGGGUAAUGGCUCACCAAGGCAAUGAUCCGUAGCGGGUCUGAGAGGACGAUCCGCCACACUGGGACUGAGACACGGCCCAG
rnacentral:rRNA from 1 species